rnacentral:rRNA from 1 species
UUGCUGCUUCGCUGACGAGUGGCGGACGGGUGAGUAAUGUCUGGGAAACUGCCUGAUGGAGGGGGAUAACUACUGGAAACGGUAGCUAAUACCGCAUAACGUCGCAAGACCAAAGAGGGGGACCUUCGGGCCUCUUGCCAUCGGAUGUGCCCAGAUGGGAUUAGCUAGUAGGUGGGGUAACGGCUCACCUAGGCGACGAUCCCUAGCUGGUCUGAGAGGAUGACCAGCCACACUGGAACUGAGACACGGUCCAGACUCCUACGGGAGGCAGCAGUGGGGAAUAUUGCACAAUGGGCGCAAGCCUGAUGCAGCCAUGCCGCGUGUAUGAAGAAGGCCUUCG